GACGAACGCUGGCGGCGUGCUUAACACAUGCAAGUCGAACGGAAAGGCCCUGCUUGCAGGGUACUCGAGUGGCGAACGGGUGAGUAACACGUGGGUGAUCUGCCCUGCACUUCGGGAUAAGCCUGGGAAACUGGGUCUAAUACCGGAUAGGAGCCAUUUUUAGUGUGAUGGUUGGAAAGUUUUUUCGGUGUAGGAUGAGCUCGCGGCCUAUCAGCUUGUUGGUGGGGUAAUGGCCUACCAAGGCGGCGACGGGUAGCCGGCCUGAGAGGGUGGACGGCCACAUUGGGACUGAGAUACGGCCCAGACACCGACGGGAGGCAGCAGUGGGGAAUAUUGCACAAUGGGCGCAAGCCGGAUGCAGCGACGCCGCGUGGGGGAUGACGGCCUUCGGGUUGUAAACUCCUUUCGCUAGGGACGAAGCUUUUUGUGACGGUACCUAGAGAAGAAGCACCGGCUAACUACGUG
rnacentral:rRNA from 1 species